UAUUUUCUAAUGUUUUAGUUUAAACCUAGUUAAUAUUCAAUUGAUGAUUAUCACAGAAAAGUGACACUCAUUUAACCAAAGUAUCACAGCCCUGUUAUUUGGGUAAAUAUACCUUAAAAGAAAGAUACGAUAUUACAUUGGAACGUUGAUAAUUAAGAAAUACAUGGGCAUAUUCUAUUAAAUGUUCACAGGUAAGACAGCCCCGGAGACAGACAGGCGUGUACGGACAGGCACUGGCGAACAUUUUAAAGGUAUUUAUGACAGUGACUUGGUCGUGGGUGAGCGUCAAAAACGCUAAUCUUGGAAUAGGUCUCCAGCAAUAGUGUACCUAUAUGUUGAACUUCCUCGUGAGUUACCAUGGAGAGAAGGAUACAAACCACCCCCACCAUGGCCCAAGAUUGGAUUUGACAAUAAUCUCAGCAUGACAUAAUAUUUGAUAGGUCAUUGUCAGCGUGCCUCCUCUUCGUGUAGCAAUUCGCUGCAAAGAAAAAGAUACCACCAGCUGUGUUCACAGAAUAGAUACCCAUGCGAGCACACAAUGGUAUCUUCUCCUGCACAGGACCAGAAGUCUCCGUCCACUUGUUGGGAUAUUCGUAAGGAACUUGCUGGAGCGUGACAUCUGAACUGUGUUUUUGAUGACAUUUUAUGAGUAACUAUGAACGCUAAGUACGAGAUGAGGGAUGACUGAUGAUGAUGGUGAUGUAUUUAAUUAUGUGAUUUUUUUGUAUCUUAUGAAACCUCAUUAAUAAAAUGAGUCUGAUUCCCCCG